rnacentral:rRNA from 1 species
CCUACGGGUGGCAGCAGUGAGGAAUAUUGGUCAAUGGUCGGGAGACUGAACCAGCCAAGCCGCGUGAGGGAUGAAGGUACAGAGUAUCGUAAACCUCUUUUGUCAGGGAACAAAGGCGGGGACGUGUCCCCGGAUGAGUGUACCUGAAGAAAAAGCAUCUGCUAACUCCGUGCCAGCAGCCGCGGUAAUACGGAGGAUGCGAGCGUUAUCCGGAUUUAUUGGGUUUAAAGGGUGCGCAGGCGGGCUGUUAAGCCGGCGGUAAAAAUUCAGGGCUCAACCCUGUCGAGCCGUCGGAACUGGCAGCCUUGAGUGGGCGAGAAGUAUGCGGAAUGCGUGGUGUAGCGGUGAAAUGCAUAGAUAUCACGCAGAACGCCGAUUGCGAAGGCAGCAUACCGGCGCCCGACUGACGCUGAGGCACGAAAGCGUGGGGAUCGAACAGGAUUAGAUACCCUUGUAGUC